rnacentral:ncRNA from 1 species
CACCGCCCGUCAAGUCACGAAAGUCGGUAACACCCGAAGCCGGUGGCCUAACCCUUGUGGGGGGAGCCGUCGAAGGUGGGACCAGCGAUUGGGACUAAGUCGUAACAAGGUAGCCGUACCGGAAGGUGCGGCUG